CUACUUCAAGAUGACCAUACCACAAUUCUCUCCCAUAUUCUCUCUCUUUUCGUCAACAACAAUCUAUCUUCUCUCUCUGGUCUUCAAACCUAGGGCGCCCGAAAUUCACCUUUAAAUGGAAAACGAAGUGAAACCCUUCUCAUCUUUCAUUGCAAUCUCUCUUUCACUCCUCAUUCUAUUCAUUCUCUUCAUCUCUCAUUAACAUGGGGUUCAACCCUCUCAUUCUCAAAACACAUGAAAGAAGAUGAAUAGGGUUUCAUAAACCAGUUUGAUUUUGGUUAUCAAUUGUGAAAAGUUUGAGUUAUCAAGAUGAUUAAGAAACUGAUGGAUCCAUCAUUUGUCCAGCUGACCACAACUCAGUAGUCGGGAUCAAGCCGGUUGUUGUACUCACUAGCAGGGAUGGGUAAGUGCAACAACUUUUGGCGUGUUUACAACAACCUUGCUGACAUUUUUAAAUAUAAAUGACUAAUUUGAAACCAAAAGAAAAAUAAAGAUAAAAUGACCUGCUCUAACUAUAAAUUAAGUUAAAUGUAUGUAUUUUUUAUUACAACCCAAUGUGCAGGGCAUUUUCAGAUGCAGUUCAUGUGCUUGAUGUAAUGGUUGGGUUUGACCCAAGAGAUUACUAAGCUCCAAAGUCCGCGGAAAAGUUUAUACCUUAAGAUGGUUAUAAGCAAUUCCUCAAUAAACAAGGGCUUAAAGGAAAGAUAAUAAGUGUUUUGAGGAAUUCAUUUUUGGUUGGAUCAAAUGUCACUUCCAUCUUUGAAGAUCAUCUCAACGUGUUAAGGUAAAAAAAUACAAUAUAAUUCAUAACACUGUCUCAUUAUGACACUAUAUCUAUAAUAAAACUGAGACUGUGUGUAUUUAUUUGCAAAUUGAAGAGAAAGAACAUUGGUGGAUAAUUUGAAAGUAGAAAAUGUUAAGCCAAAAUGUUAAUCACAAUUUUGUAAUUAUUAUAAUUAUGUAAAUACAUCUAUUGCUUGCUUAAGUGUAUUGAGUUUUAUAAAUUUUUCUACUGCAUUUGGUGAGUAAGAUCUAUUCUUAUCAACUGUGUUAUUAUCUGAAGUAAUCUAUUGCAAUUUAAUUUGUCUCUUCAGUGAAAUGCAUGAUGUGUAACCAUGAGAACCAUCCAAAUGAAAUUUCACUGUGUUAUCAAUUGUGUUAUCAGUUAAAGUGAUUUGCUUACUGUCGGAGCUUCUUUUUAAUUCAUUUUUAUUUGUUUCACCAUGAGAACCAUCCAAAUAAAAUUUCAUAGCGCACUUACGGUGUUUGUAUAGUUGAUGUUGCCACAAGCAGAGUCAUUAUCGGGCAAGUAUGAUGUAUGAUUAUGGUAUUCGAAUUCUCAGGGGGAUUAGUUUUCAAGAAUAUGUAUUGGCAGUUGUUUUCUUCAGUAGAUUAGCUUUCAGAAAAUUCAGUAGAUUUUUUCCACAUAACACUUGAGUUCAGGUAGC